GGAGGUAGUGACAAUAAAUCACAAUGCGGGACUAUUUAGUUUUGCAAUUGAAUUGAGAACAAUGUACAAGAGUUAUCGAUAAACAAUUGGAGGGCAAGUCUGGUGCCAGCAGCCGCGGUAAUUCCAGCUCCAAUAGCGUAUAUUAACGUUGUUGCAGUUAAAAAGCUCGUAGUUGAAGUGUGGGAUAAUGUAUAUUGGAUCUUUUAGUGAAGAUAUAUGUUGUCCCCCCUCCAAUUUCGGACUGUGGGUAUUAAUUUACUUGCAGUUCGUGUUGGUCAUUUACUGUGAGAAAAUUAGAGUGUUCAAAGCAGGCAUUUGCUUGAAUAUAUUAGCAUGGAAUAAUAAUAAAAGGCUUGUAUGGUCGAUUUAAUUGGUUUGUUCAUAUAAGCAAGAUUAAUAGGGACAGUCGGGGGUAUUCAUAUUCAAUAGUUAGAGGUGAAAUUCUCGGAUUUAUGGAAGAUGAACAAGUGCGAAAGCA
rnacentral:rRNA from 1 species